AGUGAACGCUGGCGGUAGGCCUAACACAUGCAAGUCGAACGGCAGCACAUUCAUUGCUUGCUCUUUCGGGUGGCGAGUGGCGGCCGGGUGAGGAAUACAUCGGAAUCUACUUUUUCGUGGGUUAUAACUUAGGGUAACUUACUCUAUUUCCUCAUACGUCCUACUGGUGAAUGCAGGGUAUCUUCGGACCUUGCUCUCUUGAAUGAGCCGAUGUCGUAUCAGCUAGUUGGCGGGGUAAAGGCCAACUAACGCGACGAUCCGUAGCUGGUCUGAGAGGCUGAUCAGCCACACUGGAACUGAGACACGGUCAAGACUCAGACGGGAGGGAGCAGUGGGGAAGAUUGGACAAGGGGAGCAAGCCUGAUCCAGACAUACCGCGUGGGUGAAGAAGGCCUUCGGGUUGGAAAGCCCUUUUGUUGGGGAAGAAAAGCAGCAGGUUAAUACGGCGCUGUGGUGACGGUACCCAAAGAAUAAGCACCGGCUAACUUCGUG
rnacentral:rRNA from 1 species